CCCCUCAUACCCAGACCCUCCCGCCAAGCCUCACCCUCCACGCUCAGAACCACCACCCCCCUGCCACUGAGCCCAACACCUCCUGCACCUGGACCACCCUGAUGAGCCAUCUGCACCCGGAUCCCCAAGCUACCAAGCCCCAACAAGCUGCACUUGGAUCCCCACCCCACUAAGCCCCACUCCCCCGGUAUCUGGACUCCCCACUGAGCCCCCCCACACUGAGCCACCCCUGCCAAGCUCUAUUCCCCCCCCACCCAGACCCCCCAUCCGCUGAGCCCCAACCACUUUCACCUGGACCUGCAGAGUCCCAUUAUCGUUGCACCCAGAACCCCCCAACAAGCUCCAUGGGCAUCCAGAUCCAUCCCACAACCAGAUCCCUCCACUGAGCCACCCGCAUCCAGAUUGCCCCACACUGAACCCUCUCAACCCACACCUGGAUCCCUCCACUCUAUGCCCCUCCACACUUGGAUCCUGCCUUGCUGAGCCAGCCUGCCCACACUUGGUGCACCUGGCCCAGUUCUUGCACUGUGUCAGCAUCGGGUGCAGCCUCACCGCUGAGCCCAUAUUCUGGGGUGGGGAGCUGAACAUUGAUCUCUCAUCUCUGUGCAGCCAGUGGCCUAUGCUCCCCAAAGCCAUGCCAGAGCCUCCACAUAUAUUUGACAAAUAAAAUUUGCAGAAUUUUAAAA